UUCGAUUGCCUCUGAAAACACAAUAGUCCCAAAGAUGGCCAUUUUGACCCAUGUUUCCGACCUCAAAUCAAAAAACAUAAAGAAUAAAAGUUGUAGGUAUAUUCUUCCUCGUUCCGGAUCAUCUAGAAUAUCCUCAAUCGGAGUUUUUAUGAAAAUGUUAUGGCUGUUUUACUACAGGAGGUUAAAAUAGUCACACUGGACAAACCUAGAGCGCAGCUACGCCCAAUUAAGC
rnacentral:lncRNA from 1 species